CUUAUGGUACCGUCAUUUCCCCGAUAAUCGGGGCCGUUCUUCCCAUAUAAAAAGCAGUUUACAACCCGUAGGGCCGUCUUCCUGCACGCGGCAUGGCUGGAUCAGGCUUCCGCCCAUUGUCCAAUAUUCCUUA
rnacentral:rRNA from 1 species